rfam:Bacteroidetes bacterium GWA2_40_15 gwa2_scaffold_27953, whole genome shotgun sequence.
GGUGAACUGGCCUACCGACAAAGAUGUUCAGGCAUAUUUGUCAAACCGCCCUGCGGAGCUAUGUUUUCUAGACAUUGGUAUUGAACGGUCAGGGUUAAAGACUGAACAGUCCGGAAAAAGUCUGGG